rnacentral:rRNA from 1 species
UACAGAGGGUGCGAGCGUUAAUCGGAAUUACUGGGCGUAAAGCGCGCGUAGACGGUUUUGUAAGUCAGAUGUGAAAUCCCUGGGCUCAACCUGGGAACUGCAUUUGAGACUGCAUGGCUAGAGUAUGGAAGAGGGAAGUGGGAUUUCCGGUGUAGCGGUGAAAUGCGUAGAUAUCGGAAGGAACACCAGUGGCGAAGGCGGUUACCUGGGCUUGUUCUGACGCUGAGGCACAAAAGCUGGGGGAGCAAACGGG